UGCUUCAGAGGCAUACUAAAAUAAGUAGUUUUAUUUUUUCUUCCUAUAUAUUGUAAUUAGCCUUUUGCUGCUAAGGCAAAACCAAAUCAAACCAAAAUAAUUAAUAAUAAUAAUUAAAAAAAAGCAAAACACUUUUUUUUUUUUUUUUUUUAACCAAACGUUUGUAGUCUAUCAUAGUGCUCUGGGUGAUAACAAGCAUAUAAACAUUUAGUAGAGAACUACAAUGCUGAUAGUCCUGGUAAGUCUGAAAAUGCAAACAUCCCCAAUUUGCAAAUUUGAAGGCUUUAAAAUUGUGGUCUUAAUAAAAGCAGAAAUUCACUGUGACUGAUUUGUAAUUCACAGCAUACAAAUUACACUAAAUGAAGAUCCGAGUUACGCAAAUCUAAGUCAUACACCAACAUCCAAUACCCAGCACCAUACACACUACCUCAAGCCAUGCCCAGCUGAUCUAAGGCAAGAAAUAUAUUCCUUUCCACUGUCUUUCCUUCCCUUUGUUUCUGCUGGGGAAGACUCUUGUUAUGCUUUGUUUGCCCUUUCUUACCAGCUGGAAAGGAAGAUGGAUUUAGACACAAGUAAACUAUGAGCUUCAAAGCCUGAUCUUCUGUAGUCUAGCCCUUGAUCUCUACUUGUGCUCCUUCUGAAGUUCAGCUGUAAAAGGAAGAAGCAAUGUCAUUUUUCUGCAGUGCUCACACUCAGAACAUCGAAAAUUAAGGAUGAAAUUUUGCAGUGAGGUACACAAGCAAAGAAUCUCAUCAUCAUCACGAUUAUUGAGAAGAGUAAAGUGAAAUGUAUGUGAAACCCCUUCAGGAAUGAGAGUAGAGGAAUAAUGUUACAGAAGAAAAGAAUGAUUUUGGAAACAUAAUAUUGUAUACUUUCACAUUAUUUUGAAUGCAUUAGGCCUUACAAAAA
rnacentral:lncRNA from 1 species